rnacentral:lncRNA from 1 species
UUAUGUAAAUGCAUGCAAAUCUGCCUCAAGUGAUCAGAGAUGUUUUUGCAUCGGCAUGUAAUAUUCAUAAAAAAUGAACUCCAAGCUUACAGUCAAGAAAGUCGAUAUCAAAAUACUCAAUACACAAUCUUAAAGACAGGUUCCUUGUUGCUACUUUGUCAAUUGUUGCUCUUCCGUGAUGAAGUCGAGGCUUCAUGGCCUCACAAAUGGGUAACGACCAUAUAUGAUCCAAGG